AAAAGAAAACAAAAUUGCUUGUGAAAUACGUUUAAAUGAGGAGACUUUCAAGGCAUUUACCUUUCCGGGGAGCUGAAGAAAGAAGAGAGAACUCAACUAAGAGA